GUGAGGAAUAUUGGACAAUGGAUGGAAAUCUGAUCCAGCCAUGCCGCGUGCAGGAAGACGGCCCUAUGGGUUGUAAACUGCUUUUAUACGGGAGCAAUAAGGUCUAUGCAUAGAUUGAUGAGAGUACCGUAUGAAUAAGCAUCGGCUAACUCCGUGCCAGCAGCCGCGGUAAUACGGAGGAUGCGAGCGUUAUCCGGAUUUAUUGGGUUUAAAGGGUGCGUAGGCGGCUUUGUAAGUCAGCGGUGAAAUUUUGCAGCUUAACUGUAAAAGCGCCGUUGAUGCUGUGAAGCUAGGAUUUGGUUGCUGUGGGCGGAAUGUGUGGUGUAGCGGUGAAAUGCAUAGAGAUCACACAGAAUAUCGAUUGCGAAGGCAGCUCACAAAGCCAAUAUUGACGCUGAGGCACGAAAGUGUGGGGAUCAAACAGGAUUAGAUACCCCAGUAGUCC
rnacentral:rRNA from 1 species